AGCGAACGCUGGCGGCAGGCUUAACACAUGCAAGUCGAGCGGGCACUUUCGGGUGUCAGCGGCGGACGGGUGAGUAACGCGUGGGAACGUGCCCUCUGGUUCGGAAUAACUCAGGGAAACUUGAGCUAAUACCGGAUACGCCCUUUGGGGGAAAGGCUUGCUGCCGGGGGAUCGGCCCGCGUCUGAUUAGCUAGUUGGUGAGGUAACGGCUCACCAAGGCGACGAUCAGUAGCUGGUCUGAGAGGAUGAUCAGCCACACUGGGACUGCGACACGGCCCAGACUCCUACGGGAGGCAGCAGUGGGGAAUAUUGGACAAUGGGCGCAAGCCUGAUCCAGCCAUGCCGCGUGAGUGAUCAAGGCCUUAGGGUUGUAAAGCUCUUUUAUCCGGGACGAUAAUGACGGUACCGGAGGAAUAAGCCCCGGCUAACUUCGUG
rnacentral:rRNA from 1 species